CGCUGGCGGCGUGCCUAAUACAUGCAAGUCGAACGGUCUUUCUAUGGAAGCUUGCUUCCGACUGAGAAGAUAGUGGCGAACGGGUGAGUAACACGUGGGUAACCUGCCCAUAAGAGGGGGAUAACAUCCGGAAACGGGUGCUAAUACCGCAUAGUUUUCUUGAUCGCAUGAUCGGGAAAGGAAAGACGGCCUUUGUGCUGUCGCUUAUGGAUGGACCCGCGGCGUAUUAGUUAGUUGGUGAGGUAACGGCUCACCAAGACGAUGAUACGUAGCCGACCUGAGAGGGUGAUCGGCCACAUUGGGACUGAGACACGGCCCAAACUCCUACGGGAGGCAGCAGUAGGGAAUCUUCCGCAAUGGACGAAAGUCUGACGGAGCAACGCCGCGUGAGUGAAGAAGGUUUUCGGGAAUCGUAAAACUCUGUUGUCAGAGAAGAACAAGUUGGAGAGUAACUGCUCCAGCCUUGACGGUAUCUGACCAGAAAGCCACAGCUAACUACGUGCCAGCAGCAGC
rnacentral:rRNA from 1 species